rnacentral:rRNA from 1 species
AGUGAACGCUGGCGGUAGGCCUAACACAUGCAAGUCGAACGGCAGCACAGUAAGAGCUUGCUCUUACGGGUGGCGAGUGGCGGACGGGUGAGGAAUACAUCGGAAUCUACUUUUUCGUGGGGGAUAACGUAGGGAAACUUACGCUAAUACCGCAUACGACCUACGGGUGAAAGCAGGGGAUCUUCGGACCUUGCGCGAUUGAAUGAGCCGAUGUGGGAUUAGCUAGUUGGCGGGGUAAAGGCCCACCAAGGCGACGAUCCGUAGCUGGUCUGAGAGGAUGAUCAGCCACACUGGAACUGAGACACGGUCCAGACUCCUACGGGAGGCAGCAGUGGGGAAUAUUGGACAAUGGGCGGAAGCCUGAUCCAGCCAUACCGCGUGGGUGAAGAAGGCCUUCGGGUUGUAAAGCCCUUUUGUUGGGAAAGAAAAGCAGCAGGUUAAUACCCAGCUGUUCUGACGGUAACCAAAGAAUAAGCACCGGCUAACUUCGUG